AUUUGUCUGGCCACUUUCAAAAAAAACAACAAAAAAAAAAGUGCUAAAACAUCCUGCAGAUAAUGUAUUCACGAAGGGAGAAGCUAAACUUGAGAGGAAAUUGUUUGCCUUUAACGCAGUCCAUGGCCCACUCAAAGCAGCAGCAAGGAGGGUUAGUCAGACCUCAGCUUUUAUCAAGAUGGGACUAACUAAUCUGAAUUGAAGUGUGGGCACUUUCUUUCUGAACUCCAAAGGCAUGAAAUGCAACUGGGACUGAGGUUUUCAGGCUCUUGCUGAAAAGCAAAUGUAGACUUUCUGCUUAAAAUCUAACCUUUUUCAAACUGUUUGACAAGAACAGCAAGGGGAAGAUCCCAGAGAAAUUGGGAGUGUUUUUGCAGAUUUCUGGUGACAAAACAGUUUUUCAGUGUUCAUUAAUAAGAAGAAACCAGCUCUUUUGAGUGAAAAUUUCCUCAUCUUUAGUGAAUUUCUGGGGUGUUCUGAAGACCGACUUGGAGAAAAGGGGAAUAGAAUGCAGUUGACAAGUCAUUUAUUUCUCUAUUACAGCCAUCUGGAAGAUUAACUAAUAGCAGCCUCGGCGUUGGAUGGCUGGCCAAAUUAGGUAUGACUUAGCAGAGUAGUGCUUCAUCGUCCGCUCCUUCCCAGAGCAGACCUUCUCCAGCAGCUGCUUCGUUAGGCAGUGAGCAGGCCCACAGCGGGACAGAAACGAAGCAUGCUGUGCUGUCAGCUCAUCUGAAAACAGGUUGGGAAGCCUACUGAGGUCUCCAGCAUUGGUGGUUUUCCCGCCGAGGAUUAAAUAUGCCUGCAUAAAGCCAGCGCAUCCCACAAAUCAAAAGCAGCAUGCGUGGAAAAGGAGCAAGCAGUGGCAAGCACAACCUGGAGUGCCGUGAUGGAUUAGGGAGAGGGCCCUGUGAAUGCUCCCUUUUCUGAAGGGGAGGUAAUCCGUCAAUCCCAACAGGGCAGUCCUGUCAAAGUAGGCCUCAUUGAGGACCACAGCAUCCUCCUCGGUUUGUUCUCCGUCCUGUGGAGGGCACUGCACUCUGUGCCAGACUGAGCUCGUGGUCGGAAGCUGAUUGGUGUGGGGUACCUACCAACUUUUGUCCUCUCUGCAAAAUGGCUGUACCAUCUUCUAACUCUGGAGAGCUGGGGAGAAGACAGCUCAAGAUGUUUUGAAAAGCCAAAACCUCUCAAUGUUAAAAUGUAAGAGAGAUUGAUUGUGACUCAAACGUGAUAAGAUUUCAACGAGGCAAGCUUGGUCCAGUAUCAUUUUAAAAGCCAUUCAGAAAGGGCACUUGCUGGAGCAGGAGAGCUUCCCUGCUGGCUGCAAUGGAGGAAAUCCCGGGAAUAAUCUAUGGCUUAAAGAGAGUUUGUCUUUAACCAUGAAGGGAUCAUCCUGCUCUCCCUACAAAGUCCUUUCAUUUCCAUCUGGAAUGAGUAUACGAUAACCUAGUCAGACCAGCCUCUCAGUCACCAAUCAAAACACUGACUCUUGACAUUUGCCUAAUUAUCUUUUCUCAUCAUCAGUCAUCUCUUGAAGUCUUUGCUUCAUUCAGAUGCCAGGUAUUUCCGAAAUUAAUCAUGUCAUUGAAAGCGGCAUCUUUUCAUGUAAAUGGACUUUAUUAUCUGGAUCGAAAAGCUCCCCCCCACCUCCUCCUUUGAGCUGCAAAAGCCCAUUUGUAGGGAAAGUGUCUGAAAUCUGACAUGCUGCCUUCUCAAGAGAGAUUCGUAGUGGUGACCUCCCAGCAAGAGCUAAGCAUCCGUCACCGGGAGUGUGUGUGUGUGCUGCUUGCACCCUUGGGCUGGAUGCAUGCUAAUUUGCCCCCAUUGUUUCGGGGUGAGUGGCUUUCCAGCACUUCCAAACAAAGCCUUUUUGCAUGAGCCUCUGUGUGUACAAUUAUUUUAUGUUCACAUCAUUCCAUCAUCUUAUCUCUAUUCCUGAUAUAAGAGGGGAUGGAAAUGUCUUUGUUUUCUUGUUAUACUGGGGAUUACAAACUGGAUUUAGCAUGUUAGCAAGGACACUCCUCUUUCAUUAAUUCUCAUUUGACAUAUGUUUUGCAACAUAGGAUUGAUCAGCUCAUUGCAAUGCUCAUCUUCUCUUUAACUUUCAAAGGGACACUACCACCAAACCUUGUUGAUUCAACAAGAAACCAGUCUGCUGUAAUUGACAGCACAUGCAAAGUGUUGCAGGAAAGAAGUAAAUAUGAGUGGUUUAGUCAGGAAUGUAAUCUAAACUGUGGUAGAAGAAUGCAUUCAUUUUGCUCAUUAGGCUCACUCCUUAAUGAAUUGUACAGUGAGCAGGGCAACGAAUCUGAGAUCAGCACUGAUAAUGCAACUCUGCAUUUUGAGGAGUUCACUUUUUAAGUUUGUGGUCGCACAUUUACAGACUCCUUGCAAAAGCACCCUGUUAUUUUACACAUGCUGAGCCUCCCUCUGGGACCAUUUGCAGACAGCAAUAUUAAUUGCUGGCAAGAUCUACACUUAAAUUAAAAGUGAAAGUUGGGCAUCAUCUGACUGAAAGGGGGAAGUGAAAUGAAUCACUGUCCUUCUGUGCUUGCACUGUGUAGGACUAACAAAUUAAGAUCAUUCUUUUUAGCACUGUCAAACCAGACUUGAUCUGAUAAGAAGCAAUAACUCUCCUAGAAAGUUUUCAGUAUCAUUGGUAUUAUGUAAAGUCAUGUUCUCUAUUCCCUGGUAACAAUUUGAGAGUAUGAACAGACCAAAAGUGGCUUUUUGAAUAACAGGCACACUGUUAUAUAACGGUGUACAUAGCCGUGUAUGUUUAGAGAAAGAGCAUAGAUUAUAAAUUGUUGGAUGCUGAAGAUCAAGCGACACCAUUAUGCAAUGUAUCUUUCUGCCUAGUGAAGGACACAGGGCUCUGUGUAUAUAUACUCUAUAUAUGUAAUGCCAUUAGGCAGACCUUCCAAAACCAAUGUUAAGAUAUAUCAUGAGGCAGAAGUCACCACAGUAUUCAGCAAUUGAAUUCCUAUUCAGCGAUUGUUCCUAUUGCCAAGUGCUCUCAUGGUUAAAAAUUUCCUGUUAAUUUCUAGCUUGAAUUCAUCUAGCUUCAACCUCCAGAUGUUAGAUCUUGUUUUAUGUCUUUGUUAAACUGAAAAGCCCUCUGUUUCCUGUGAAGCUUCUUGUAUAUUGUGGGCAAGUCACUCCUUAACCUUUCUCUAUUAAGCUAAACAGUCUGAGCUGCUUGAGCCUCUCACAAUUGUUUUCUAAUCCUCCCAGUGUUUUCUAGUCCUUUAGCCAUCCUCAUGGCUCUUCUAAUUUAUCAACAACCUCUUGAAACAUAGGCACCAGAACUGGAUCCACUAUUCCAUUAGUAGUCAUACCAGUGCCACAGACAAAGAUGAUAUUACCUCAGGCCUCUAGCCUAUAUCCCCCUGUUUACAUAUCCUAAGGACUGAAGUUACCCUUCCAGCUACAGAGCUAAUGUGCAGCUGAGCAUCCACGCCUCUGCCAUGUUCUUUUUGGAGCCAUUUCUUUCCCAGAGAGAGGGUCCUUCCCUUCUUUAAAUAUUCCCUCCACUCUGUUCACCUAACGUUAUCAUUUAACACUUUCUCAUGCUUAUUGUUUCCUUCAUGCAUCAUUGACGUGCCUUUGAUAUUUACUGCAUUCCCAGUCCGUGUCAGCAGUGACUUCGUGUUUUCUAACAAGCGUUGAAAAGAUUAAACAGCAGCCAUCCACCCAAGAAAAAGUGCUCUGUUACCAAUCCUCGAUAAGGAAUCCUCAUACACAGUGAAAAAUCACCAGCUACCCUCCUCCUCCUUCCUUGCUAAGAAAAUCAUGCCCUAUAAACCACAGAGAAGAUGCUAUACCCUUAACUCUGCCCGACAGUUCACAUUUGUCCUGCUCACCUCACUAGGGGAUUUCUCAUCCUCUUGCUUCCUUUCCACACUGUCCUGAGAAAGCACAUAUACCUCAGUUCAGGAAGGAGACAGCAGGAAGCUAUCACUUCAACCCAGGAAGAGCUGAAACUAUUUUCUGCCUGAUAAAAUGAUAUGCACUAGUGCUGAGGUGUAUUUCACCAGCUGAAGGCUGUUUCUGGAGGAGCAACUGUUAUUUCUUCCCACUUCAAUUUGUAUAUCAUUGAUGCAGUAUUCUGAGGUUGACUGGAUGUUAUCUUAAUUAUCUAUCAUUUAUUACUGUCAUUAUUGUUGUGGCGCUACUUUAGUGCUAAAGUGAGGAACGCAAUCAGGUUCUACAAGUAAGGAUGUAGGAUUGUCCCAAGGAAUUGUGGGAAGGAAUUUGGUUUUUUGUUGUUGUUGUUGUUGUUUUGUUUUUUUUGUUUUUACUAUUUUUUAAAAUGGUUCAAAAAAUAAUGAUCACCUCACUGGUGUUAUUUUAUUUAUCACCAUGAAUACAUUUAAAUGGAUUUCCCUGCAGUAACCAUAACAUUUAUCUUUCUCGAUAGUUUCCAGUAGUUCUGGGAACUGUUUUUCACAGAAGUGUCUAAUUAUUAUCACUAGCAAUUACAUUUAUUUAUUAUGUUUUGCUGUUGCUGAAGGAGCUUCUCAUGCCAUUGACAUGCUCUCUUGUACGCUAUCACCAAAAGACAAAUUGGGUUAUAAUUAAAUUGCAGAAUAAAAUUGUCAAAUGUUGACAUUGUUUCUCUUUCGUGGGGCAAUUUGUAACCAUUUACUCUUCUUUCCAGUUUGAAGUUAUUCUGUUUCUUUUCCAUUUGUAGUUUUCAGAAAUGUUUUUAUUGUUGUUGUUUUUUGCUGCUCUUUCUUCUCAGCCCUUUCUCUUUCUUUUCCUUUUGCAAAAUCUUUUCUUCCCCCCCCCCCCCCCCUUUCAUAUUCUGAUAACUUUCCUUUGAGAAAGCUCCCAGAGCACCAGCUAUGGGCUUGGUCUUCGGCCUCCUUAGCCAGAAUUUAUCUUUGCCAUGUGCCAAUAUGGAAAAACUGGCGCAGUGGAAAAAGAGAAAGGAAAAUGAAGAAGUGGAAAAAAACUUUCCAUCCCAAAGAAAAUGUUAAACUUCAUCUCUUUCAUUACUUUCAGUAGCAAGAUGCAAAGAGGUUUUUAAAAACAGCAGAAAGUGGGAAUUCCAGAAUUUUCACUUCUGGUGGGAUAAAUGAGAAGUUUUGAACAACCAGAAGUCUACAGAAAGGUGGGGCUCUGAGACAGGCAAAAAAAAAAAAAAAAAAAAAAAAAAAAAAAAAAAAAAAA
ensembl:lncRNA